rnacentral:rRNA from 1 species
UACGUAGGGGGCGAGCGUUGUCCGGAUUUAUUGGGCGUAAAGAGCUCGUAGGCGGUUCGGUAAGUCGGAUGUGAAAUCUCCACGCUCAACGUGGAGGGGCCAUUCGAUACUGCCGUGACUCGAGUCCGGUAGGGGAGUGUGGAAUUCCCGGUGUAGCGGUGAAAUGCGCAGAUAUCAGGAGGAACACCGGUGGCGAAGGCGGAUCUCUGGGCCUUACCUGACGCUCAGGUGCGAAAGCUAGGGGAGCGAACAGG